rnacentral:rRNA from 1 species
AUUGAACGCUGGCGGCAGGCCUAACACAUGCAAGUCGAACGGUAACAGGAAGAAGCUUGCUUCUUUGCUGACGAGUGGCGGACGGGUGAGUAAUGUCUGGGAAACUGCCUGAUGGAGGGGGAUAACUACUGGAAACGGUAGCUAAUACCGCAUAACGUCGCAAGACCAAAGAGGGGGACCUUCGGGCCUCUUGCCAUCGGAUGUGCCCAGAUGGUAUUAGCUAGUAGGUGGGGUAACGGCUCACCUAGGCGACGAUCCCUAGCUGGUCUGAGAGGAUGACCAGCCACACUGGAACUGAGACACGGUCCAGACUCCUACGGGAGGCAGCAGUGGGGAAUAUUGCACAAUGGGCGCAAGCCUGAUGCAGCCAUGCCGCGUGUAUGAAGAAGGCCUUCGGGUUGUAAAGUACUUUCAGCGGGGAGGAAGGGAGUAAAGUUAAUACCUUUGCUCAUUGACGUUACCCGCAGAAGAAGCACCGGCUAACUCCGUG